rnacentral:rRNA from 1 species
CUGUAACUGACGCUGAGGCUCGAAAGUAUGGGUAGCAAACAGGAAUUAGAUACCCUGGUAGUCCAUACCGUAAACGAUGAAUGCUAAGUGUUGGAGGGUUUCCCGCCCUUCAGUGCUGCAGCUAACGCAUUAAGCAUUCCGCCUGGGGAGUACGGCCGCAAGGCUGAAACUCAAAGGAAUUGACGGGGGCCCGCACAAGCGGUGGAGCAUGUGGUUUAAUUCGAAGCUACGCGAAGAACCUUACCAGGUCUUGACAUACUAUGCAAAUCUAAGAGAUUAGACGUUCCCUUCGGGGACAUGGAUACAGGUGGUGCAUGGUUGUCGUCAGCUCGUGUCGUGAGAUGUUGGGUUAAGUCCCGCAACGAGCGCAACCCUUAUUAUCAGUUGCCAGCAUUAAGUUGGGCACUCUGGUGAGACUGCCGGUGACAAACCGGAGGAAGGUGGGGAUGACGUCAAAUCAUCAUGCCCCUUAUGACCUGGGCUACACACGUGCUACAAUGGAUGGUACAACGAGUUGCGAACUCGCGAGAGUAAGCUAAUCUCUUAAAGCCAUUCUCAGUUCGGAUUGUAGGCUGCAACUCGCCUACAUGAAGUCGGAAUCGCUAGUAAUCGCGGAUCAGCAUGCCGCGGUGAAUACGUUCCCGGGCCUUUGUACACACCGCCCGUCACACCAUGAGAGUUUGUAA